AGUAAAAAGGGACAUAAAUAUUGUUCUGUUUCUCACCCAUACCUAUUAUAUCACUUCUGAAGAUAUAGAUUUAAGCAUGAGUCAUAUGGAUCAUUGUAUGGACCUACAGAGCUGAAAUAUUCUUCUAAAACUCUUUGUUAGUGUUCUGCAGAAGAAAGAAAGUCAUACACAUCUGGGAUGGCAUGAGGGAUUAAGAAAACAUCAGCUACGGCAACCACAAGAACCUCAGGACCAUUCUGGUUGUGAAAGUGUGGUGAGGCUCAUGAGGACAUGAUUAGCAAUGUCACACAGAGUUGUGUGGGCUUCACAGUAUGUGUUGCAGAUGGACAUAUUCUCACAGAGCUGUUUCAUCCAGAGGCUUUUCCAGUUCUCGAACCAAGCCUGAGUCUGAGUCAUACACCUCAGAACUGCUGUUUUUGUGUGGUCUUUUUAUCUCCUCUUUUGGACACAUUCUUGCAGUAUGCAGAUAUAGAUGGCCCACCUCUUUGCAUUAGUGCAGUAUUGCUGCCUUUUAUAUUGCCAUUUAAUUUUAAAGAUGUCCUACCAGCGGAGUCAAAUUUUACUCUGUUUUUUCAUAUAAAGGACUUCACUGUACUACGGAAAAGAACAUACUGUAACUUACUGAACUUAAAACUUCCCCAGUGAAAAAUAAAAAAAAAAUUAGACAACAAGGUGUAAAAACAACUAGUUUUGAAAUCCUCAUGUUUCUGGUGUCAACCAUGCCAGUGUUCAGCAGCUUGGCCCAUUCAGUUAUGGUGAGGGAAUAAGGAAGAAGUUACACAAAUGCCAUUAUUCCUAAAAAAUGAAAUUAAUUAAAAGAGUAAUUAAUUAAUAAUAAUAGAAUAAACUUUGUGAAAGUCCACCAAACCUUGUAAUGUUCUUGCCUGUGUGUUGCACCUGCCACUCUUCAUAUUCUUCAGAAGAAUCCUAGCGUUAGAAAGGAGUGUUGAAAGUUUAUUUUUAAAAGCAAAUGACAUGAAAGUUUAUUUUUAACAAGCUAUUCACAGUGUAAUGCAGGCUUUGCAAAGAGGCUGUUAUUAAAGGU